GUGGGGUAAUUUUCCGCAAUGGGCGAAAGCCUGACGGAGCAAUGCCGCGUGGAGGUGGAAGGCCUACGGGUCGUCAACUUCUUUUCUCGGAGAAGAAACAAUGACGGUAUCUGAGGAAUAAGCAUCGGCUAACUCUGAGCCAG
rnacentral:rRNA from 1 species